CGCCUGGGGAGUACGGGUGAGGUAACGGCUCACCAAGGCAUCGACGGGUAGCUGGUCUGAGAGGAUGAUCAGCCACACUGGGACUGAGACACGGCCCAGACUCCUACGGGAGGCAGCAGUAGGGAAUAUUGCACAAUGGGCGAAAGCCUGAUGCAGCAACGCCGCGUGCGGGAAGAAGGCCCUAGGGUUGUAAACCGCUUUCAGCAGGGAAGAAAAUGACGGUACCUGCAGAAGAAGGUGCGGCCAACUACGUGCCAGCAGCCGCGGUGACACGUAGGCACCAAGCGUUGUCCGGAUUUAUUGGGCGUAAAGAGCUCGUAGGCGGUUCAGUUGGUCGGGUGUGAAAACUCUGGGCUCAACCCAGAGACGCCACUCGAUACUGCUGUGACUAGAGUGCGGUAGGGGAGCGGGGAAUUCCUAGUGUAGCGGUGAAAUGCGCAGAUAUUAGGAGGAACACCAGUGGCGAAGGCGCCGCUCUGGGCCGUAACUGACGCUGAGGAGCGAAAGCGUGGGUAGCAAACAGGAUUAGAUACCCUGGUAGUCCACGCCGUAAACGUUGGGCACUAGGUGUGGGUCUCAACCAACGAGAUCCACGCCGUCGCUAACGCAUUAAGUGCCCCGCCUGGGGAGUACGG
rnacentral:rRNA from 1 species